CCUACGGGUGGCAGCAGUGGGGGAUAUUGCACAAUGGGGGAAACCCUGAUGCAGCGACGCCGCGUGUGGGAAGACGGUCCUCUGGAUUGUAACCCACUGUCCCCAGGGACGAAGAUGACGGUACCUGGGGAGGAAGCUCCGGCUAACUACGUGCCAGCAGCCGCGGUAAUACGUAGGGAGCGAGCGUUGUCCGGAAUUACUGGGUGAAAAGGGGGCGUAGGCGGGACUGCAAGUUGGGUGUCAAAUCUACCGGCUCAACCGGUAGCCGCACUCAAAACUGCAGUUCUUGAGUGAAGUAGAGGCAGGCGGAAUUCCUAGUGUAGCGGUGAAAUGCGUAGAUAUUAGGAGGAACACCAGUGGCGAAGGCGGCCUGCUGGGCUUUUACUGACGCUGAGGCUCGAAAGUGUGGGGAGCAAACAGGAUUAGAUACCCCAGUAGUC
rnacentral:rRNA from 1 species